ACGCCUUCAUGAAGCUGGAAUUGCUAGUAAUGGCAGGUCAGCAUACUGCCGUGAAUACGUUCCCGGGCCUUGUACACACCGCCCGUCACACCAUGAGAGUUGGAAAUACCCGAAGCCUGUGAGCUAACUUAAAGAGGCAGCAGUCGAAGGUAGAGCCAAUGAUUGGGGUGAAGUCGUAACAAGGUAUC
rnacentral:rRNA from 1 species